CACAGGUGCAGCUGAGUUUGGGGAAAUAGCGACGUUUUUAGCACUGGUGCAAGUAGAUGACUGACUCCUGGACUCAGGAUGACAACGCAGGAGUCGCAGAAAAUCAGCCCUGGUCUCCUUGAAAGCCUUCAGGUUAGAGAGACUGAUGAAAUCCCCAAGCUGUCUCCCUGGUGCCUGGCACACAGGAGUCGCUCAGUGAAGAGCUGUUGAAUGAAUGAACGGGAUGCGUGAAUGAUGGACUCUUCUGAGAGCACUGCCUCCACGGAGAGCUCGGGGGAGACCGACAGGAGCUGGCCUGGCCCAGAGCAUCUGACCCCGGCGCUGGACCCCUUGUCCAGCGUCCCUGCAGAAGGAGUCUCUAAGGGCCUGGGCUCCGCUUAUGUUUGUGACUUCUCAGCACAAAGGAUCACUCUGCAAUUACGUAGCCACGGGGAUCAUUGUGGAAGCCAGAGCCGAGCCGGGCCUCGCUGAAUGCGCUUUCCUAGAACAAAGAAUCUCAG